GCCCCCGUUGUCUAAUGGUUAUGACGUCAGACUUCUACCGAAUGAGCGGUAUCUGGAGGUUGCGGGUUCGAAUCCCGCCGGGGGUU